CGUAGGUGGCAAGCGUUGUCCGGAUUUAUUGGGUUUAAAGGGUGCGUAGGCGGUCUUAUAAGUCAGUGCUGAAAUAUCCCGGCUUAACCGGGAGGGUGGCAUUGAUGCUGUAGGACUUGAGUAAAGUUGAGGUUGGCGGAAUUGACGGUGUAGCGGUGAAAUGCUUAGAUAUCGUCAAGAACACCGAUAGUGUAGACAGCUAACUAAGCUUUAACUGACGCUGAGGCACGAAAGUGUGGGGAUCAAACAGGAUUAGAUACCCUGGUAGUCCACACUGUAAACGUUGAAGACUCGCUGUUGGCGAUACACAGUCAGCGGCUGAGAGAAAUCGUUAAGUCUUCCACCUGGGGAGUACGCCGGCAACGGUG
rnacentral:rRNA from 1 species